rnacentral:lncRNA from 1 species
AUCCUGUUGGUCAAAACACCCAGCAAGGCUGCGUGUGCUCGCCUGUGUUGCCGGCGUUUAACAAGGCUGGAGCCGCAGCGAGAAGGGAAAAAUCAGACUCCAUGCUGUGAAGCCUCAGGCUCCGAGUGAAAGCGGCGGACCUCCAACAACAGAGGAAAAGCUGGGAAAUAGUUCUAAAGCUUUGAUGAAAGCAGAGGAGGGAGAACACUGGAAAACAAUCAAAGUAAAAACAAAAGGAACGUUGAAUGAAGUUGAAUGAAGUACCCAGCGGAGAAGUAAUUAAAGACAAAGGAAGGAGGAAUUCACUACUGGCGGUAAGAAUGAUAAAGGAGUAAAGCGAAAAGCUGGCAGACGUGAAUGAAAGAGCAAGAAAGUAACCGCUAGCGAGGGAAGGAAUAUCCUCGAUAAUAAAGUACAUUUUACAAAGUACAAAGUACAAAGAGUUGGAAGCAAGGUAAUACUGAGUUUUCUUCUUUUUGAUAGAGACUCUUUACCGGGUUUGAGAGGAGGAAAGGAGGUUUCUGGGGCAUUUGGUUGAUGCUUUAACUGACAGGUUUUUGAGGACGUUAUUGUUAACAUCAACUUUUUUGUUUGAAGUGGGUGGAAGAAAGCAUGGGUCUUCCCCAGACCUUAAUGUUGGUUUUAUGUUAGUGACUUCCCCAUGGGUAUAAAAAAGGGAGGAGGAAGCCAUUUCGAGACCUAACUUGGCUUUGCUAUCCGCCAUUCCAUCUUGUCCUUGAUCUACUACGCCUCUGCAUGUAUUUGAGAUUUAAAGGGACAUGCGCCAAAAGCCAAAUAGGAGAAUUUAAACCAGCAUAAAGAACACUUCCUGAAGAACUGCCAAGUCUCCAGUAAAGAAAAAUUUUGGUGACGCCAGACCUCUAUAAUACCACCCUCUAAGAGGACAAAGACUGUAAAAGGUAAAGAUUGUAAAACUUUGUGUAUAGCCUGAUGUGUGAUGCCUAAUAUCUGCUAUUAUACCCCAACACCAGACCCGGUAACUUAUUAACCCAUCAGAGAUUAUCGGUGAUCCUGUGCCUCAUCCCUUUUUGAAUAACAUUAGUGUGGUGGACCCCAAGACCUUUCAAGCCUACAAAAUGACAAACGGUGCAAAAAAAGGCGUGGCAACACCAGCGGAAAGGAGGUCGUCGAGGCAAGAAGAUGCUAAGGAAAGUAAAGAAAUUAAAGACUAUAGCAGUCUGAUGGCCGAAAUAAGGAAAGAAUUCAAAAAUAAUGAACAAUAUAUUGAGAGAAAAUUACUUGAGGUACAGGACACUUUGGAUAAGAAAUUGGAGGGAGUGGUGGGGGAAUUGACAGGAAAGGUUAAAGAUUUAUCAGUAAGAACUAAGGUUUUGGAAGAUUCAAUGAAAAAGGUGCAAAA